rnacentral:rRNA from 1 species
AGGACGAACGCUGGCGGCGUGCUUAACACAUGCAAGUCGAGCGAGGCCCCUCCUUCGGGAGGGUGUCCUAGCGGCGAACGGGUGAGUAACACGUGGGCAACCUGCCCCUAGCACUGGGAUAAGCCGGGGAAACUCGGUCUAAUACCGGAUACGACCUUAGAGGGCAUCCUCCGAGGUGGAAAAGGUUACUGGCUAGGGAUGGGCCCGCGGCCUAUCAGCUUGUUGGUGGGUAACGCCCACAAGGCUUCGACGGGUAG